rnacentral:rRNA from 1 species
AGACCUAACGGUUGCUGUGGUGGGUAGGGGAGCGUCGUGUGCCGGGUGAAGCAGCGCCGGAAGGUAGUUGUGGACGGUUCACGAGUGAGAAUGCAGGCAUGAGUAGCGAUACACACGUGGGAAACGUGUGCGCCGAUUGACUAAGGGUUCCUGGGUCAAGCUGAUCUGCCCAGGGUAAGUCGGGACCUAAGGCGAGGCCGACAGGCGUAGUCGAUGGACAACCGGUUGAUAUUCCGGUACCCGCUUUGAAGCGCCCAAUAUCGAAUCCUCUGAUGCUAAGGCCGUGAAGCCGCCCUGAUCUCUUCGGAGUUGAGGGGAGUGGUGGAGCCGCUGAUCCAAGGUGGUAGUAGGUAAGUGAUGGGGUGACGCAGGAAGGUAGUCCAGCCCGGGCGGUGGUUGUCCCGGGGUAAGGGUGUAGCCCGAGGAGUAGGUAAAUCCGUUCCUCAUACAGGGUGAGACCUGAUGCCGAGCCGAUUGUGGUGAAGUGGAUGAUCCUAUGCUGUCGAGAAAAGCCUCUAGCGAGUUUCAUGGCGGCCCGUACCCUAAACCGACUCAGGUGGUCAGGUAGAGAAUACCGAGGCGUUCGGGUGAACUAUGGUUAAGGAACUCGGCAAAAUGCCCCCGUAACUUCGGGAGAAGGGGGGCCAUUGCUGGUGAUCACUCUUGCAGUGUGAGCUGGUGGUGGCCGCAGAGACCAGCGAGAAGCGACUGUUUACUAAAAACACAGGUCCGUGCGAAGCCGUAAGGCGAUGUAUACGGACUGACGCCUGCCCGGUGCUGGAACGUUAAGGGGACCGGUUAGUCGACCUUCGGGUUGGCGAAGCUGAGAACUUAAGCGCCAGUAAACGGCGGUGGUAACUAUAACCAUCCUAAGGUAGCGAAAUUCCUUGUCGGGUAAGUUCCGACCUGCACGAAUGGCGUAACGACUUCUCGACUGUCUCAACCAUAGGCCCGGUGAAAUUGCAUUACGAGUAAAGAUGCUCGUUUCGCGCAGCAGGACGGAAAGACCCCGGGACCUUUACUAUAGCUUGAUAUUGGUGUUCGGUUCGGCUUGUGUAGGAUAGGUGGGAGACUGUGAACUCUGAACGCCAGUUCAGGGGGAGUCAUUGUUGAAAUACCACUCUGGUCGUGCUGGAUGUCUAACCUGGGUCCGUGAUCCGGAUCAGGGACAGUGUCUGGUGGGUAGUUUAACUGGGGCGGUUGCCUCCUAAAGAGUAACGGAGGCGCCCAAAGGUUCCCUCAGCCUGGUUGGCAAUCAGGUGUUGAGUGUAAGUGCACAAGGGAGCUUGACUGUGAGACCGACGGGUCGAGCAGGGACGAAAGUCGGGACUAGUGAUCCGGCGGUGGCUUGUGGAAGCGCCGUCGCUCAACGGAUAAAAGGUACCCCGGGGAUAACAGGCUGAUCUUCCCCAAGAGUCCAUAUCGACGGGAUGGUUUGGCACCUCGAUGUCGGCUCGUCGCAUCCUGGGGCUGGAGUCGGUCCCAAGGGUUGGGCUGUUCGCCCAUUAAAGCGGUACGCGAGCUGGGUUUAGAACGUCGUGAGACAGUUCGGUCCCUAUCCGCUGUGCGCGUAGGAGUCUUGAGAAGGGCUGUCCCUAGUACGAGAGGACCGGGACGGACGAACCUCUGGUGUGCCAGUUGUCCUGCCAAGGGCAUGGCUGGUUGGCUACGUUCGGGAGGGAUAACCGCUGAAAGCAUCUAAGCGGGAAGCCUGCUUCGAGAUGAGGGCUCCCACCCACUUGAUGGGUUAAGGCUCCCAGUAGACGACUGGGUUGAUAGGCCAGAUAUGGAAGCCGGGUGACCGGUGGAGUUGACUGGUACUAAUAGGCCGAGGGCUUGUCCU